rnacentral:rRNA from 1 species
UACAGAGGUCUCAAGCGUUGUUCGGAUUCAUUGGGCGUAAAGGGUGCGUAGGCGGCGCGGUAAGUCGGGUGUGAAAUCUCGGAGCUUAACUCCGAAACUGCAUUCGAUACUGCCGUGCUUGAGGACUGGAGAGGAGACUGGAAUUUACGGUGUAGCGGUGAAAUGCGUAGAUAUCGUAAGGAAGACCAGUGGCGAAGGCGGGUCUCGUGGGCCGAUAUUGACGCUGAGGAGCGAAAGCGUGGGGAGCGAACAGG